AUUGAACGCUGGCGGCAGGCCUAACACAUGCAAGUCGAACGGUAACAGGAAACAGCUUGCUGUUUCGCUGACGAGUGGCGGACGGGUGAGUAAUGUCUGGGAAACUGCCUGAUGGAGGGGGAUAACUACUGGAAACGGUAGCUAAUACCGCAUAACGUCGCAAGACCAAAGAGGGGGACCCUCGGGCCUCUUGCCAUCGGAUGUGCCCAGAUGGGAUUAGCUUGUUGGUGGGGUAACGACUCACCAAGGCGACGAUCCCUAGCUGGUCUGAGAGGAUGACCAGCCACACUGGAACUGAGACACGGUCCAGACUCCUACGGGAGGCAGCAGUGGGGAAUAUUGCACAAUGGGCGCAAGCCUGAUGCAGCCAUGCCGCGUGUAUGAAGAAGGCCUUCGGGUUGUAAAGUACUUUCAGCGGGGAGGAAGGGAGUAAAGUUAAUACCUUUGCUCAUUGACGUUACCCGCAGAAGAAGCACCGGCUAACUCCGUG
rnacentral:rRNA from 1 species